UUCACCUAAUUACUCUCUGACUUGCGCAUUAAAACUUCAUAAGAGUAAACCACCAACUACAAAAAUAAUGGUCCAAGUUUUUCAGAAAUAAAAUAUAAAAUAAUGAUUGAAAAUAUCUAGUUCUCUCUAAUCAACCCCAAUGAAAAGGAACUAGUAGAGGGGUUACUUUGACUCGAAAAAAUUGACUGCUACGAUACUUUCACAUUUCAUGUCUAUGGCCUAAUAUAGAAUGCUUUUACCAACAGUGAGCAUUUUCAAGAAAACAUCAAAGAGAAGCAAAGUCCUAAAAAGUAUUCCACGAGGCAAUGAAUAAUAUACAAAU